AGUGAACGCUGGCGGCGUGCUUAACACAUGCAAGUCGAACGAGAACGGAUUAUAGCUUGCUAUAAUUGUCAGCUAAGUGGCGCACGGGUGAGUAAUGUAUAGAUAACCUGCCCUCUGGAAAGGAAUAACAGUUGGAAACGACUGCUAAUGCCCUAUAUGCCUUUAAUACAUAAGUAUGCAAGGGAAACGCUUUAGUGCUAGAGGAUGGGUCUGUAUGGUAUCAGUCAGUUGGUGAGGUAAUGGCUCACCAAGACAAUGACGCCUAACUGGUUUGAGAGGAUGAUGAGUCACACUGGAACUGAGACACGGUCCAGACUCCGACGGGAGGCAGCAGUGGGGAAUAUUGCACAAUGGACGAAAGUCUGAUGCAGCAACGCCGCGUGGAGGAUGACACAUUUCGGUGCGUAGACUCCUUUAUAUAGGAAGAUAAUGACGGUACUAUAUGAAUAAGCACCGGCUAACUCCGUGCCAGCAGCCGCCGCGG
rnacentral:rRNA from 1 species